CCACAAUGGACGAAUGUCUGAUGGAGCAACGCCGCGUCAUCGAAUAAGGUUUGCGGAUCGUAAAUGUCUGUCAUAAGGGAAAAUCACGUACGCAAGUACCUGCUCGUCCCUCGCCGGUCCCUUAUGACAAACCCACGGCUAACUACGUGCAAGCAGCCGCGGUAAUACGUAGGUGGCAAGCGUUGCCCGGAAUUAUUGGGCGUAAAGCGCGCGCAGGCGGUUCUUUAAGUCUGAUGUGAAAGCCCACGGCUCAACCGUGGAGGGUCAUUGGAAACUGGAGAACUUGAGUACAGAAGAGGAAAGCGGAAUUCCACGUGUAGCGGUGAAAUGCGUAGAGAUGUGGAGGAACACCAGUGGCGAAGGCGGCUUUCUGGUCUGUAACUGACGCUGAGGCGCGAAAGCGUGGGGAGCAAACAGG
rnacentral:rRNA from 1 species